ensembl:lncRNA
CCUAACCGUUCGUUAUAUCCCUCACAUUUCAUGAUGACAUGCUAAGGUUCUCCCAGCUGUGAUUAGAGGAAGCCAGAAGACCAGAUGCUAUGACACCCUCUGGGGGAAAGUGUCACUCAGCAGGCAAACUUCACCCCACAGAAUGUUCACAAGAAUGUCCGAGAGGUAGCUCACUCCAUGCAGGUACGCUUCACUCUCACAUCUUGUUCCUGUGAUGUUUCCAUCCUCGGGGCAGAGAAGCCAAGUGGAGCCCAGCUAGUCCGAGGCUUGUGAUCAAUAAACAAAAUAGUCAAUCCUCCAUUUCUUCCACCUCCUAAGGUCCCUGGUGCGGUUCUGGCCUCGCUCUACCCGACACUAUGCAGCUUGCCGUCAUCACAUUGUGUUGUGCUUUUGUUUCUGAGUAUCCUUUUCACCCUCUUCUCACAACAGCUUUUGCUUUCACAUGGAAAGGCAACAAUACACAUGGUCCAACAUAGCUCAGGGGUUUACUGAGGUCCCGUCUCAUCUCUCUGGGUCCCAAAAUGCAGACCUGGGACAUUUUAUCAUCACCUGCAGCUCUGUCCUUAUCCAGCAUAUGGCUGACACUUUUCUCUGCACACCUGAAUAGGCAGCUUAUUUAUUACCAUCCAUUGCUCACUCCCUCCGUCACGCACAAGGGACGUAAGGUCUCUAAAAGCAAAAUGUAAUGAUGCAGCCCUCAAGUGUGCUAGCUCCUCCAAAAGGAAGAGUUUUUCCCUAGAGAAUUAACACCUUUAACUCAUGAAAGAAUUGACAUCAUUAGUUUUCCUCUUCCUGAGACCAAAAGAGACUUUAGUGUUUUAAGGAUUAGUUGGCUAUUGCCGAGAUUGGAUCCCGAGCCUCUUCCCUGUAGUUUCUCUCUUAUACUCGUUGGCCAGGAGAACAUCUCCAAAUUUCCAAGUUGGGACUCCCAUUCCAUCUUUGAGUUUCAAAGUCUCACACCUUCUCUACCCUUUUCUCCUACCCUUGGAGUAUCUAUUCAGACUCAUUAUCCAUUUUCUUCUUUAUAAACAGAAGGGAAAAACAUUUCAGGGGCUCUUGCCCCAAAAUAUAAGGGAAGCCAAAGGCCGUUUUGAAGUACCUUAGAUCUAGCAUCUCAAGCAUUUCGCUCUUGCUCACACACUGCUGCCCAAUCAGCCCACAGCCCUGCUAACUUGGCCGUGAGCCAUUCACUCCAGUUCCACAUAUUCCAUGCAGUUCGGAGCCUUCUACUCACUGACAGCAUCUAACAUUCAUGCACGUUCAUACUUGUCUCCUACAAAACUCUACUACUACUGCCCCUUGAAUUGCUAUCCUCUGCUCUCAAAACCUUAGUCCAGCUUCCUUCCUUCCUUCCUCCUCCUCUGACGGACCACCUCACAACUGCAUCCUCACCAUCACCACCAUCAUCAUCAUCAUCAUCAUCACCAUCAUCAUCACCAUCAUCACCAUCAUCAUCAUCAUCACCAUCAUCAUCAUCACCACCAUCAUCAUCAUCAUCACCAUCAUCAUCAUCAUCAUCCCCUAGCCCUUCCUCACCCUGACAUUGCUGAAACUCCUCUUCAAGACCCUCAUGUUGGAUUCAGGAGAUGAUUUAUUAUUACUUUUUUUUUUUUACUUCAGCCUACAGAUGGGAAAUUUCAAUGAUCAGACUUUCUACAUGCCAUGGAGUUCAGAUUUUAAUUUGGCCCAAGUGGUUAAACAUAACAAUUCCCACCUGAGCUUUCAUGCUGAUGUAAGAUAAGAGUGCUAAUGUUAACACAGAUAGCCAGUACACUCUUGGAGUUGUCAAUAAUGUUUGCGGGAAUGGAAAGAGAGAGGGUUCAGCCAUCAAAAGUGGAACCCUAAUUGCUGAUUUAUGAAAGACUUUCCUACUAUGCAAGAAUUUAGCUAUUCUCAAAAUUGAUAUGACAUCAGUAGUUGGACCCCUAAAGCUAAAGAAAGCUCCUUAUCUGAAAAUUAUUCUAAGAUAGCUACUUCCCAACUCUGCUUAAAAGGUGUAAGCACAAUAACUUAACAUCUAAGUCUGGAAAAACUACCUGGAAAGAAGCUGGACAUUUCAUGCACCCAGAUAAGCUUUGGAGACCAGAAAACAGGCAGUCUGUCCAACAUCCCUCACCUGAAAUUCAUCCAGACCUUCUGGAAGGCUGCACAUUGUGGCUAAUGAAAUCCUACAGGCCUUGGAGCACUUGAUUUUGUUUGUCACCUUGACUGGAUUCUUUGCACCCAGAUAUUUGGCUAAGCAUCAUGUCUGCAUGCUUUUCUGGGGUCUGGCCACUGUGGUGGCUCAGAUACCGGUAAGUGUUAACUCAAUGGUUUGACUCUCAGGUUUCCG